UGGGGAAUAUUGCGCAAUGGGGGAAACCCUGACGCAGCAACGCCGCGUGAAGGAUGAAGGGUUUCGGAUUGUAAACUUCUUUGAUGAGGGACGAACACAAUGACGGUACCUCAAAAACAAGCCACGGCUAACUACGUGCCAGCAGCCGCGGGAAUACGUAGGUGGCAAGCGUUGUCCGGAAUUACUGGGUGUAAAGGGCGUGUAGGGGGGGAUGCAAGUCAGAUGUGAAAUUCCGGGGCUCCACCCCGGCGCUGCAUCUGAAACUGUAUCUCUUGAGUGCUGGAGAGGAAAGCGGAAUUCCUAGUGUAGCGGUGAAAUGCGUAGAUAUUAGGAGGAACACCAGUGGCGAAGGCGGCUUUCUGGACGACAACUGACGCUGAGGCGCGAAAGCGUGGGGAGCAAACAGG
rnacentral:rRNA from 2 species